AAUUUUCGACAAUCGGCGCAAGCCUGAUCCAGCCAUGCCGCGUGAGUGAAGAAGGCCUUCGGGUUUUAAAGCUCUUUCGGACGGAAUGAAAUCGCUCAGGCUAAUACCCUCCGUGGAUGACGGUACCGGCAUAAGAAUGACCGGCUCACUACGUACCAGCUGCCGCGGUAAUAAGUAAGGUGUGAGCGUUAAUCGGAAUUACUGGGCGUAAAGCGUGCGCAGGCGGUUGAUUAAGACAGGCGUGAAAUCCCCGGGCUUAACCUGGGAACUGCGCUUGUGACUGGUCAGCUAGAGUACGGCAGAGGGGGGUGGAAUUCCACGUGUAGCAGUGAAAUGCGUAGAGAUGUGGAGGAACACCGAUGGCGAAGGCAGCCCCCUGGGCCGAUACUGACGCUCAUGCACGAAAGCGUGGGUAGCAAACAGG
rnacentral:rRNA from 1 species